CAUUUCAUACACUUUAUAAAGUGUUUGUUGAUGAUGACCAAAUGAUUUAUAAACCUUUAAGAGAUGGUUUAUAAAACAUCUAUAAACAUUACAGAGACACAUGGAUCAGAUAUUUGUUCAUGGUUUGUAAAUAUUUUAUAAAGCGUCUAUUAACAUUAUUUGGAUGGUUAUUAUAAAGUUGGAACUGAAGAUUAUAAUCCCUUAUUAAUACUUUGUAAAGCAUCUAUAAAUAUGUUUUAGAUAGAUAAUGAAUAUUUUAUCAAUGAUUAAUAAGUGGUUUGUUAAGCAUCUAAAAGCAUUAUCCACGCCAUGUUUGUGCGCCCCAUUAAAUGUUUCAUAGAUGACCUAUAGAAGAUCAUUUUUUUGCACACCAAUAACAGUGUUGAAAACACUAUAUUUUAAAAAACUUUAAGUUAAUGUUGACUAGAAGGAGACCAUCGGAAGACUCGGGGGGGAAUCGCACCGACUACCUGCUAAGAGAUCACCUGAUUGUGAUAGAGUGGAAUGAAUGUCUGGGUAAAAAACAAUAUAAUGUUUCUUUAGGACGCCUGCUUGAUGAUAUUGCUAAGUGUAGCCCAGGUUUAACUAUGACACAUUCCUCUAUUUUAAAAACAUUCCUCUAUUUUAAAAAUAACAUGUAGUGGAGGUGUAACUCAAUAUAUAAAGUUAUUGAAAGAUAGUUAGAAAUAAUUUUAUACCUAAAGAAGAUGAUUGAAACAUAACAAAUACAAUCAUAUCUAGCUGUCUCAUCAAGUCACUACUAAGGGUUAACUUUCUGUUGUUGUCUUUGAGUGAUUUGGGUUAGGGUGAGUUUGAUGAGUUCGUAAGUGAGCCAAUCGGUGAACUCUAUUAGUCCGUGGGCCGGCCAAUCCAAGUACCAACGCCUUAUUUGUUGCAUAUUUUCCUACAAAAAUGAAAUCAUAGGAUGGGUUUAAUAUGUAGCCAAAACCCCCUUGUAUCCAUAUGUCAUGUGUCAUACUACCUCACUGAAAUCACAGGGUGCUUCCAUGACUAUGUACAGAGUGUACUGUAAGACAGAAGUAGUGAAGUUCACGUAUAAAAAACAGAUAAAACCUAUAUCUCUUAAGAUACUUUUCAGAAUAUAGAAGACCACCAGUCACUACGGCUCCAAACAUCAGCAUAUAGCUCUUUAUAGAUGCUCAUACUGAUUUAUAUAUUUUCAUAUGCAGCUCAUGCAUGUCUCAGUAUUUUGCUAUCUUUAUUUAUUUUAUUGUAUUUUGUCAUAGCUGUCCUGACCUUGUCUGUUUGUUUUUUUGUCAUGUAUUUGUCCCCAGUUUGUCAUGCUAUUGCACCUAAUAAUAAAAAAUAAAAAAAUACUUACCUGUGCUUCUGAGUGACUCCCAGUGUUUGCCUAGUGGCUCCUUGUUUCCCUUUUCGGAUUUUGAACGUUUUUUUGUCUUUUUGUCUUUUUGUUUAAUUAAAUAUUUUACUUCCAUAUCUGCAAUUGGGUCCAGUUCCUUGUUUUCCACUUCAUGACAGUUUCUUGCCCAUGUGUGCAAGGCUUAGUCCUGCCUUGUUGCUGUUCUGCCUUCAUGGGCAAACUUUUAAGAUGUGCAAGGACCUUUUUAUUCCAUUUGAACUACUGUAGCUUUUUCUUUUUGAAAAUUCAACAUAUGUCCACAAAACACAGGACCCUGCUUAAGAUGGAAAUGUUUCCCCGUAGUGAGUUAAUAUUGUGACACUGUCAUAGACAUGCGAUGGACUUUUUUUAAAUUUCAGAAUGAUGGUUGUUGUCUUACAUUAUGACUUGUGACAUUUUGAUGUAAAUCUUUUUCUAUCUCAAUUACUUUUUUUAUCACACUAUUUUGGCUUUGGCCUUUUCUCAUUUGGCCAACAUGACUUUUUAUCUCGUAAUUUGAACUUUCUUUAGGCCGACCAUGUUAUGUUUUCCCAUUGUCUAUUUCCUAUUGUGUCCUAGUUUCAAUCUACUGCUUACAUGCACUUUCCUAACAUCAUGUUCCAAACAUUAAGCUGGAUCCUCUCCUUAAAUCACAUUUAGACAUGUAUCCUUUAUUUGCCAUGUAAACAUGUAAUUGGUCAUUUUCUCCAUUAUUUUGCACAUUUUAAUGCAAUUGGUCUGUAAUGUCCUGGACUUGUACAAUCUUUUUCUUGUAAAUUAGAGCUAGGGGAUAUUUGUUACAGAAGUUUAUUUGUUUUGAACACAAAGAACAUCUUUGUGUGUGUUGGAAAUAAACUAGGAUUAAUACACACGUAAUCAUUUCUUUGACUUUGUUGUUAAAAAGAGUUCCUGAAGAUUGAAUAGACCUUUUUUUGUGUGUUAUAUGCUACAUGAAGAGUUCUCAGGUCUCAGUUUGAUUUGAAACGGUUUGUGAAACAUUAUCCUGGAGAAAUGUCAACUUUCAUCAAGUCAAAGAUCAUUUGUAUAACACCCUGGUUCAGGUCAAGGCGGGGUCGUAAUCAGGGGAUGAGCUGCACCUUGGCCCGGUGUAGUCCUCAUAUAAUCCUCUUCUCAGGACAGACGCUCUCUCUCUCACCUUGUUCUCACAUUUGAUCAUUGUAAAUAAAUGUGGUGUUAUUUUGGUA